GACGAACGCUGGCGGCGUGCUUAACACAUGCAAGUCGAACGGUGAAGCCCUUCGGGGUGGAGCAGUGGCGAACGGGUGAGUAACACGUUAGCAACCUGCCCCUGGCUCUGUGACAACCACUGGAAACAGUGGCUAAUACCGGAUACGACCCGCCUCUGCAUCCAGUGUGGGUGGAAAGUUGUUCGGCUGGGGAUUGGCUCGCGGCCUAUCGACUUGUUUGGGAGGGGAAGGCGCACCAAGGCGACGACGGUUAGCCGGCCUGAGAGGUCGACCACGCACACUGGGACUGCGAGAGGGACCAGAAUCGAAUGGGACGCAGUAGUGGGGAGUCUUGCACAAUGGGCGCAAGCCUGAUGCAGCGACGCCGCGUGAGGGAUGACGGCCUUCGGGUUGUAAACGUCUUUCAGCUCAGAAGAAGCGAUAGUGACGGUAGGAGCAGAAGAAGCAACGGCUAACUACGUG
rnacentral:rRNA from 1 species